rnacentral:rRNA from 1 species
AGUGAACGCUGGCGGUAGGCCUAACACAUGCAAGUCGAACGGCAGCACAGUAAGAGCUUGCUCUUACGGGUGGCGAGUGGCGGACGGGUGAGGAGUACAUCGGAAUCUACUUUUUCGUGGGGGAUAACGUAGGGAAACUUACGCUAAUACCGCAUACGACCUACGGGUGAAAGCAGUGGAUCUUCGGACCUUGCGCGAUUGAAUGAGCCGAUGUCGGAUUAGCUAGUUGGCGGGGUAAAGGCCCACCAAGGCGACGAUCCGUAGCUGGUCUGAGAGGAUGAUCAGCCACACUGGAACUGAGACACGGUCCAGACUCCUACGGGAGGCAGCAGUGGGGAAUAUUGGACAAUGGGCGCAAGCCUGAUCCAGCCAUACCGCGUGGGUGAAGAAGGCCUUCGGGUUGUAAAGCCCUUUUGUUGGGAAAGAAAAGCAGCAGGCUAAUACCCCGCUGUUCUGACGGUACCCAAAGAAUAAGCACCGGCUAACUUCGUG